UUUGUUUUGGUUUGGUUUUUGGUUUUUUGACAGAGAUGCAGCAAGAGAGAGAACACAAGCAGGGGGAGUAGAAGAGGAAGAAUUCUCACAGGCUUCUUGGUGAGCAGGGAGCAGGACUCCGGGAUCAUGACCUGAGCCAAAGAUGCUUACUGACUGAGCCACCCAAAGCCCCAGUGAACAAAGACCAUUCUGUCUGUGGAGUUGCUGCUUUCAUAGAACCACAGGAUAUUAAUGCCAUGAGGGAACCGGGAGAUGAUGUGGACCCCAUUCCAUCAUUUAUAUCAAGGAAAACAAAGGCUCACAAAGAUCUCAGCAAGCACGGAAUAUGGAACUGUUCAA